rnacentral:rRNA from 1 species
GAUGAACGCUGGCGGCGUGCCUAAUACAUGCAAGUCGAGCGAACGGACGAGAAGCUUGCUUUUCUGAUGUUAGCGGCGGACGGGUGAGUAACACGUGGAUAACCUACCUAUAAGACUGGGAUAACUUCGGGUAACCGGAGCUAAUACCGGAUAAUAUUUUGAACCGCAUGGUUCAAAAGUGAAAGACGGUCUUGCUGUCACUUAUAGAUGGAUCCGCGCUGCAUUAGCUAGUUGGUAAGGUAACGGCUUACCAAGGCAACGAUGCAUAGCCGACCUGAGAGGGUGGUCGGCCACACUGGAACUGAGACACGGUCCAGACUCCUACGGGAGGCAGCAGUAGGGAAUCUUCCGCAAUGGGCGAAAGCCUGACGGAGCAACGCCGCGUGAGUGAUGAAGGUCUUCGGAUCGUAAAACUCUGUUAUUAGGGAAGAACAUAUGUGUAAGUAACUGUGCACAUCUUGACGGUACCUAAUCAGAAAGCCACGGCUAACUACGUG